UACGGAGGAUGCGAGCGUUAUCCGGAUUUAUUGGGUUUAAAGGGUGCGUAGGCGGGUUAUCAAGUCAGCGGUAAAAUCGUGGAGCUCAACUCCAUCCAGCCGUUGAAACUGGCAGACUUGAGUUGGCGAGAAGUACGCGGAAUGCGCGGUGUAGCGGUGAAAUGCAUAGAUAUCGCGCAGAACUCCGAUUGCGAAGGCAGCGUACCGGCGCCAGACUGACGCUGAGGCACGAAAGCGUGGGGAUCGAACAGG
rnacentral:rRNA from 1 species